CCUCUGUCUGCCUUAACGUCUUCCUGAAUC
rnacentral:piRNA from 1 species